rnacentral:rRNA from 1 species
CCUACGGGUGGCAGCAGUGGGGAAUAUUGCACAAUGGGGGAAACCCUGAUGCAGCGACGCCGCGUGAGUGAAGAAGUAUCUCGGUAUGUAAAGCUCUAUCAGCAGGGAAGAAAAUGACGGUACCUGACUAAGAAGCCCCGGCUAACUACGUGCCAGCAGCCGCGGUAAUACGUAGGGAGCAAGCGUUAUCCGGAUUUAUUGGGUGUAAAGGGUGCGUAGACGGGAAAACAAGUUAGUUGUGAAAUCCCUCAGCUUAACUGAGGAACUGCAACUAAAACUAUUUUUCUUGAGUGCUGGAGAGGAAAGUGGAAUUCCUAGUGUAGCGGUGAAAUGCGUAGAUAUUAGGAGGAACACCAGUGGCGAAGGCGACUUUCUGGACAGUAACUGACGUUGAGGCACGAAAGUGUGGGGAGCAAACAGGAUUAGAUACCCCAGUAGUC